rnacentral:rRNA from 1 species
GGCCAGACUCCUACGGGAGGCAGCAGUGGGGAAUAUUGGACAAUGGGGGGAACCCUGAUCCAGCGACGCCGCGUGGGUGAAGAAGCGCCUCGGCGCGUAAAGCCCUGUCAGCAGGGAAGAAAAUGACGGUACCUGAAGAAGAAGCCCCGGCUAACUACGUGCCAGCAGCCGCGGUAAUACGUAGGGGGCAAGCGUUAUCCGGAUUUACUGGGUGUAAAGGGGGCGCAGACGGCGAUGCAAGCCAGGAGUGAAAGCCCGGGGCCCAACCCCGGGACUGCUCUUGGAACUGCGUGGCUGGAGUGCAGGAGGGGCGGGCGGAAUUCCUGGUGUAGCGGUGAAAUGCGUAGAUAUCAGGAGGAACACCGGUGGCGAAGGCGGCCUGCUGGACUGCAACUGACGUUGAGGCCCGAAAGCGUGGGGAGCAAACAGGAUUAGAUACCCCCGUA